CCGGCAGCGAGCGCGGUGCCGCGCUGCGUGUAUUUGACAAGCUGAGUCCGACACUCAGUGCGAGAGUGUCAGUUUGUCAAAUACCCCAAGCGAGGCACUGCUGAGC
rnacentral:pre_miRNA from 1 species